UUGACCUCAAAUCAGGUAGGACUACCCGCUGAACUUAAGCAUAUCAAUAAGCGGAGGAAAAGAAACUAACAAGGAUUCCCCUAGUAACUGCGAGUGAAGCGGGAAGAGCUCAAAUUUGAAAUCUGGCGGUUCUUGACCGUCCGAGUUGUAAUCUAGAGAAGUGCUACCUGUGCUGGACCGUGUACAAGUCUCCUGGAAUGGAAGCAUCACAGAGGGUGAGAAUCCCGUCUUUGACACGGACUGCCUGCACGUUGUGGUGUGCUCUCGAAGAGUCGAGUUGUUUGGGAAUGCAGCUCAAAAUGGGUGGUAAAUGCCAUCUAAAGCUAAAUAUUGGCGAGAGACCGAUAGCGAACAAGUACCGUGAGGGAAAGAUGAAAAGAACUUUGGAAAGAGAGUUAAACAGUACGUGAAAUUGCUGAAAGGGAAACGCUUGAAGUCAGUCGCGUCGGCCAGAAAUCAGCCUUGCUUUUGCUUGGUGUACUUUCUUGUUGAUGGGUCAGCAUCAAUUUCGACCGUCGGAUAAAGUCGUUCAGGAAUGUGGCAUCUUCGGAUGUGUUAUAGCCUGGCGUCGCAUACGGUGGUUGGGAUUGAGGAACUCAGCACGCCGCAAGGCCGGGUCUUCUUUGACCACGUCCGUGCUUAGGAUGCUGGCAUAAUGGCUUUAAUCGACCCGUC
rnacentral:rRNA from 1 species